ACACCAGCGGUGAAGUACAAUGGCUACUAGUGGAGGCGAUGAGGGUCACAACAACCCUGCUCUUCACCCGGAUUUGGAUAUUCCGGAUACUCCGGAUCUCCAGUUCGCUGAGUUCGGAUCGGGUUGUUUCUGGGGAGCGGAGUUGGCCUUUCAGCGAAUUGAGGGAGUGGUGAAGACCCAGGUUGGAUAUACUCAGGGUCACACCCCGGAUCCAAAUUACAAACUGGUUUGCACCGGAACCACUAACCACGUUGAAGUGGUUCGGGUUCAGUUCGACCCGAAGGUUUGUCCCUACGAGAAUCUACUUGUUCUCUUUUGGUCUCGAC
rnacentral:lncRNA from 1 species